AUACAAUACCCUUUUAAUUUGAAUGGGUUGAUCAACAACACGACACAAUUCACAUAUCGAUCCUUUCCAAUCCAAUUGUCAUAUCCAUCCUUCCCAAUUCAAUUGUGUUUUCGCGGUAAAAGUUAUAUACGUACUACGUACAUCGUGUUACACUUCCCGAACCUAAUAUAUGUCUCAAUAAUUCUUCAAUACGGUAUAUUAACAGAUGAACGAAGCCCUGCCUCGUCUUCCUCCUGCUCCCCCCUCUGAGUUCUCCAUUAAAUCGCACUUGACGUUCUCCAUUGAGGCGCCAUCUAAUGCUUGUAUUCCCCCAUUGAAGCAGCUUCUGAGGACAAGGUGAGCCAUGUUGAUUCCACACACUGUUUCUUUGCAAGGCCUUCUUCAUUCUGCCUUGCCUGCGAAAAAGUUGUCAUGUUUGGAGCAGCAGAAGGAUCAAAGGUUGUGGCCACUCUGGGGCUUAGUAUGGGAUUUGGAGCAUUGACACAAGGCCUUGGCCACCCAGGUUCGUAUGCAGGAUCAACGGCCUGCAUCAUAGAGGAUGGCCUCAUGAACCCAUCUAGGGCAUGAGAAAAUUCGGAUGGAUCCUGGUUAAGAUCCAUUUCAGGGUUAUGCCUUGGCUGCCAUCCACUGUGGUCAUAUCCAUGGUAAAAAGGAUACUUGAUUUGUUGUCCAUAAUAGGGACCCUGAGAUAGAGGUACCCUUGCACGUUCAUAACUAUGAUAAGGGAUUGGAUUUUCAGCAUUUCCCUGUGCUUCUUUCAUUGCGCGCUCCAUCUCCCUCUCUUGCUUGUGUGCUCUUUGGUGGCCACCAAGCGCCUGUGUAGUCGGCAAUUCCUUGUAACAGAACUUGCAGACUAUGGGAUUUUGAGUUGGAGGUGGAGGGGCAGGAGGCCAAACAAAACCAGAGGGGUGUUUGGAAGAUUCUCCUUUUUCACCUUUGUUGGGGUAUGAAUAUAAAUUGAAAGGUAGCCCUGACUCUUGCUUUUUCUUUGGUAUCUCUGGUUUGGCAUCACCCUCUGGGGAUAAUUGCUUAAACAUGGCUUUCUCCUGAGGAUAAUUUCCUGGUGUUAUGGCCAAGGAAAGGGUUGGUAUUUCAGGGGAGUUCAGCUCUGGCUUAAAGCCAUUUCUCUCGAGUGCCUCAUAAGCAAUUGUCUUCCCCUUGUCCAAUGUGCAUUUCUUCGGGGGUAGUACUGCUGACCCAAGAAACCCAAAUUGGCUCGAAAGGAGGCUUGACAUAAUUUUGCUUCCAUGGUGGCUUUCAAAUUUUUUACUCUGAACUCUGUUUGGUGGACUGUAUUUUGGUGUGAGGAAGAGGGGUCAAAAUCAAGUAUUUAUUGACAAGAAAAAUUAUUGUUCUAUACUCAUAUAUGGUAUAUAUAUCCUAAUGAAUCUGUUAAGGUGUGAA